rnacentral:sRNA from 1 species
CCAGGGAUUGACAUCCCUGGCUAUUAACUGGCACCACUUCGUGGUU